rnacentral:rRNA from 1 species
CGCGAAACCUUUACACUGCACGCCAGUGCGAUAAGGGGACUCCAAGUGCGAGGGCAUAUCGUCCUCGCUUUUCACCACCGUAAGGUGGUGGUGGAAUAAGGGCUGGGCAAGACCGGUGCCAGCCGCCGCGGUAAUACCGGCAGCCCGAGUGAUGACCGCUAUUAUUGGGCCUAAAGCGUCCGUAGCUGGCCUCGCAAGUCCAUCGGGAAAUCCGCGCGCUCAACGCGCGGGCGUCCGGUGGAAACUGCGUGGCCUGGGACCGGAAGACCUGAGGGGUACGUCUGGGGUAGGAGUGAAAUCCUGUAAUCCUGGACGGACCACCGGUGGCGAAAGCGCCUCAGGAGGACGGAUCCGACGGUGAGGGACGAAAGCUCGGGUCACGAACCGGAUUAGAUACCCGGGUAGUCCGAGCUGUAAACGAUGUCUGCUAGGUGUGCCACAGGCUACGAGCCUGUGGUGUGCCGUAGGGAAGCCGUGAAGCAGACCGCCUGGGAAGUACGUCCGCAAGGAUGAAACUUAAAGGAAUUGGCGGGGGAGCACUACAACCGGAGGAGCCUGCGGUUUAAUUGG